rnacentral:rRNA from 1 species
CGGUACUGACGCUGAGGUGCGAAAGCGUGGGGAGCAAACMGGAUUAGAUACCCUGGUAGUYCACGCUGUAAACGAUGAGUGCUGAAUGUGGGGGCGUUUUGUCUCUGUGUUGUAGCUAACGCGUUAAGCACUCCGCCUGGGGACUACGGUCGCAAGACUAAAACUCAAAGGAAUUGACGGGGACCCGCACAAGCGGUGGAGCAUGUGGUUUAAUUCGAUGCAACGCGAAGAACCUUACCACUUCUUGACAUGGAGAUUAGAUCCUUCUUAACAGAAGGGCGCAGUUCGGCUGGAUCUCGCACAGGUGCUGCAUGGYUGUCGUCAGCUCGUGUCGUGAGAUGUUGGGUUAAGUCCCGCAACGAGCGUAACCCUCAUCCUUAGUUGCCAGCGGGUWAAGCCGGGCACUUUAAGGAGACUGCCAGUGGUAAACUGGAGGAAGGUGGGGAUGAUGUCAAGUCAGCACGGCCCUUAUGGGGUGGGCUACACACGUGCUACAAUGGYRACUACAAUAGGUUGCAAKGUCGCAAGGCUGAGCUAAUCUSGUAAAAGUCAUCUCAGUUCGGAUUGUCCUCUGCAACUCGAGGGCAUGAAGUCGGAAUCGCUAGUAAUCGUGGAUCAGCAUGCCACGGUGAAUACGUUCUCGGGUCUUGUACACACUGCCCGUCACGCCAUGGG